GAUGAACGCUGGCGGCGUGCCUAAUACAUGCAAGUCGAGCGAACGGACGAGAAGCUUGCUUCUCUGAUGUUAGCGGCGGACGGGUGAGUAACACGUGGAUAACCUACCUAUAAGACUGGGAUAACUUCGGGAAACCGGAGCUAAUACCGGAUAAUAUUUUGAACCGCACGGUUCAAAAGUAAAAGACGGUCUUGCUGUCACUUAUAGAUGGAUCCGCGCUGCAUUAGCUAGUUGGUAAGGUAACGGCUUACCAAGGCAACGAUGCAUAGCCGACCUGAGAGGGUGAUCGGCCACACUGGAACUGAGACACGGUCCAGACUCCUACGGGAGGCAGCAGUAGGGAAUCUUCCGCAAUGGGCGAAAGCCUGACGGAGCAACGCCGCGUGAGUGAUGAAGGUCUUCGGAUCGUAAAACUCUGUUAUUAGGGAAGAACAUAUGUGUAAGUAACUGUGCACAUCUUGACGGUACCUAAUCAGAAAGCCACGGCUAACUACGUG
rnacentral:rRNA from 1 species